rnacentral:rRNA from 1 species
UACGUAGGGGGCAAGCGUUGUCCGGAUGUAUUGGGCGUAAAGAGCGUGUAGGCGGCCAUGUAGGUCCGUUGUGAAAACUCGAGGCUCAACCUCGAGACGCCGAUGGAAACCAUGUGGCUAGAGUCCGGAAGAGGAGAGUGGAAUUCCUGGUGUAGCGGUGAAAUGCGCAGAUAUCAGGAAGAACACCCGUGGCUAAGGCGGCUCUCUAGUACGGUACUGACGCUGAGACGCGAAAGCGUGGGGAGCGAACAGG